ACUGGGGCAGAAGGGUGUGGGGAGAGGUAACCACCGGCCCCAAAGAGUGCACAGAUGCUCUGUGCGGGGUCAGCUAGUUUAUGAAAAAUGUUGAACAGCACAGAGUCCAGGACAGAGUAUUCAAUUCGGUAUUCCGUUUGAUACCAGCUGUGGAUCCAUCUAAUGAAAGCAUCACCAAAUCCACAUUUUACCAACUUGCUGACUAGGAUAUUGUGGGAUAUCCUUUGUAAAAUGCUUUGCUGAGAUCAAGGCAUGCUUUGUCCACAGCAUUCCCCACAACAUUCCUGUGAUCUACUAAAUUAAUAAUUCCAUUGACAAAGGAGAAGAUAUUAAUCUAUCAUUACCUGUUCUUUUUGACAAAUCCAUGUUGGCUCAUACUAAUCGUCAGAUUCUUUUCUGAGUGCUCACAGACGGGCUGCUUAAUCUGUUUUAGGAUCUUGCUGGGUAUACACCAAGCUGACAUGUCUGUAGUUCCCUGACUCCUCCAUUUCCCGCUUUUGACAACAGGGAGAACAUUUGCUUAUCUGGUGUUCUACAACCUCACCCAUUCUCCAAGAAUUCUCAGAGAUUACAGACAGAUUAUAGAAAUGAAUUAAUUAAUAAUACUACAAAAAGAAUCCCUGCUUGUUGAUCUGUGAAAAAAACCGUUCAAAAUGUCCUCUUCCUCAGCCAGUCAAAAACUUGAGUACUGCUUACUGCCACAAUACCUUAACUAACCUUUUGUAAUAGCACCAGUGGACAUUUUGCAUUUCUCUCUCUCUCUCUCUUUUUGUAUUUAAAUGCUUUCAUUAGUAUUAUAAGUAAAAACAGAAAAUGUUA